GCAUCCCGCGCGUGAUUUGAUACCAGGUAGGUCAGAGCUGAACUGUAUAAAAGGCAGCAUCUUCUGACAGCACCUCAGUUCACCUGCAUCCUGAGUGAUCUACUCCAGUGCCUGAACCAGCUUUAUUCAGUUCCUGCCAAGAUGUCCUGCCAGCAGAGCCAGCAGCAGUGCCAGCCCCCUCCCAAGUGCACCCCCAAGUGCCCUCAAAAGUGCCCUGCCCCUAAAUGCCCCCCCAAAUGCCCUCCUAAGUGCCCUCAAGUCUCUUCCUGCUGCAGCUCUAGCUCUGGGAGCUGCUGUGGCUCCAGCUCUGGGGGCUGCUGCAGCUCUGGGGGUGGCGGCUGCUGCCUGAGCCACCACAGGCCCCGCAGAUCUCUUCGACGCCGACACCAGAGCUCUGGCUGCUGCAGCAGUGGAGGCAGCAGUGGCUGCUGUGGCAGCGGUGGUGGCAGCAGUGGAUGCUGUGGUGGCAGCGGUGGCAGCAGUAGCAGUGGCUGCUGUGGCGGCAGCGGUGGUGGCAGCAGCCAGCAGUCUGGGGGUUGCUGCUAACCUGGGCCACAAGAAGCACCAAGAAGCAGCACUGACUGGAGACCUGCCCAGCCUGCAGCUUCUCUUCUUCCCUCUCUCCACAGAAGGACUUCUGAAAUGCUUUGAGGCUCCCUUCAUCCUGCCCACGCUCACCCACAGUGGGGUCUUGAUGUUCUCUGGCCUAGUUUCCUUCCCCCUCUCACACACCCUUCUUUGGAGGAUGAAGUGUUGAAAUUAAGCUAUGAAGCUGUGUUUCUCUGCAAUAAUAAAGAUCUUUAUUCCUGA